rnacentral:misc_RNA from 1 species
AAGUCGUAACAAGGUUUCCGUAGGUGAACCUGCGGAAGGAUCAUUAACACAUCCUUUUUAUAUCUAUAUCAUGCAUUGUGGCAUAGGGACCCUCUUGGGAGAAAUGCCGUGUAUGGCAAGGUGCGAUUGAUUGCAGGCGACAGUCCUCGAAUUGCAAGUUUCUCCUGAAUGUGCUAAAAUGAGUAUUCGUUCACCUUGCUAGACCUUUUUUUUUUUAACUUGAUUUUUGUAUUGAAUUGGUUGGGAUCGAGAAGGGCUUCGGCCUGCCUCUCUUGGCCUUUUGAUGGAGCAAUCCAUUGAUAAAUUAACUAAAACACAACUCUUAACAGCGGAUAUCUCGGUUCUC